AAUUAUUAGCGAAUCAACUAAUACUAUUUAUGUUAUAAAAAAACCUGCCCGAGAGCAGGUUUUUGUUUAUU
rfam:Salmonella enterica subsp. enterica serovar Typhimurium str. LT2, complete genome.